rnacentral:rRNA from 1 species
AAAUACUUUAAAUUUAAAGAAUUUGGCGGUAGUUUAGUCUUUUCAGAGGAACCUGUUAUUUAAUCGAUACACCACGUAAAAUUUUACUUAUUUUUGUGUAGUUUGUAUACCAUCAUUAUCAGAUAAUUUUUAUAGAGAAUAUAAUUAUUAAAAUUAAUUGAAUUAAAAAAAUUAGAUCAAGGUGCAGCUAAUAAAUAAGUUAGAAUGGGUUACAAUAAAUUUUAUUUAUAAUGGAAUAAAUUAGUAAGAUUAAUUUAUGAAGGAGGAUUUGAUUGUAAUAUAAAUUUAAUAAGUUUAUAAGAUAUUAGCUCUAGGUUAUGUACACAUCGCC